CGGGCGUGAUUUCCCUCCAGUCUCUGAACUCCCAUCCCGUGCACUUCUGAACCAUCCGGAUUCACUCUGCCCUCUGCGUCCCACCGCUGUCUCUCCCUCUAUUACCACCCACAGUCGGGCCCCUCCACUCCCACUCUUUUCAACGCCCCCCCCAUCCUUUUCCCCCGUCCUUUUCUUAACGUACCAAGCCCCCACCUCUCCUCUCCACCUUUAACUCAUCUUCCCACCCCCACCCCCCUUGUUCCAUAGCCCCAUGCUUUGCCAUAUCACUUGUCACUCCAUUGUGUGGCCCAACUCUGGACCCCCCGCCCCCGCCUCCCCGCCCCGCCCCGGUCUUUCCUUGUCCACCCUUUUCCACCCCACCCUGACCCUGUGGCCUCUCUUAACUCCCUGUUCAGGUUCCCGCGGAUGAAUAAUUAAGCUUCUGUCAAGUAAAUAUGCUUUGGCUCCAUCACACCCACUUGUAAAGGGAACAGAGAAACGAUUAGAGAGACGUGCGCAGUGACCACGGACAGGUGGAAGGCGGGACAGCGGGUAAUUGCCAUCCUAAAAAAGACAGGAUCUGAUGCUCUUCUGAACUCUACAGACGUGUGGUUAUUCCUGAUCGUAUCCGUGGUGUGGUUGCUAGCACUCAUCCUAUUAUUUAUGUCAAGGACACGACAACUAGUCCACCGAGUGUUCUGAAGAGCUCCCAGCAACUAAAAGAAUGAAAAAGUUGCUGCUGAAGCAGAACAUUAAUUCUUUAAAAGAAGAACACAUCAAGUAUCAAUCUGUAAGGAAGAUUUUAUAAAAAAUAGAAAUU